AACGACCACCCAGGGCCGGAAAAGUUGGUCAAACCCGGUCAUUUAGAGCAAGUAAAAGUCGUACCAAGGUCUCCGUAGGUGAACCUGCGAAGGGAUCAUUA
rnacentral:rRNA from 1 species